AGAGCGAACGCUGGCGGCAGGCCUAAUACAUGCAAGUCGAACGGAUCCUUCGGGAUUAGUGGCGGACGGGUGAGUAACACGUGGGAACGUACCCUUUGGUUCGGAACAACUCAGGGAAACUUGAGCUAAUGCCGAAUGUGCCCUUCGGGGAAAAGAUUUAUCGCCAUUGGAGCGGCCCGCGUCUGAUUAGCUAGUUGGUAGGGUAAAGGCCUACCAAGGCUACGAUCAGUAGCUGGUCUGAGAGGAUGAUCAGCCACACUGGGACUGAGACACGGCCCAGACUCCUACGGGAGGCAGCAGUAGGGAAUCUUGCGCAAUGGGCGAAAGCCUGACGCAGCCAUGCCGCGUGAAUGAUGAAGGUCUUAGGAUUGUAAAUUCUUUCAGCGGGGACAUAAUGACGGUACCGCAGAAGACGCCCGGCUAACUCGCGCAGCAGCCGC
rnacentral:rRNA from 1 species